rnacentral:rRNA from 1 species
UGGGGAAUAUUGCACAAUGGGGGAAACCCUGAUGCAGCAACGCCGCGUGAGUGAUGAAGGUUUUCGGAUCGUAAAGCUCUGUCUUUGGGGAAGAUAAUGACGGUACCCAAGGAGGAAGCCACGGCUAACUACGUGCCUG